GAUGAACGCUAGCGGCAGGCCUAAUACAUGCAAGUCGAGGGGCAGCAGGAAUAGCAAUAUUUGCUGGCGACCGGCGCACGGGUGCGUAACACGUAUACAAUCUGCCUUUAACAGGGGGAUAGCCCGGAGAAAUCCGGAUUAAUACCCCAUAAUAGAUUUGUCGGCAUCGACAGAUUUUGAAAGCUCCGGCGGUUAAAGAUGAGUAUGCGUCUGAUUAGCUAGUUGGUGAGGUAACGGCUCACCAAGGCGACGAUCAGUAGGGGAUCUGAGAGGAUUAACCCCCACACGGAUACUGAGACACGGAUCCGACUCCUACGGGAGGCAGCAGUAAGGAAUAUUGGACAAUGCCCGCAAGGGUGAUCCAGCCAUGCCGCGUGCAGGAAGACGGCCCUAUGGGUUGUAAACUGCUUUUACACCGGAGAAAACCUCCCCUCGUGAGGGGAGCUGAUAGUAUGGUGAGAAUAAGCAUCGGCUAACUUCGUG
rnacentral:rRNA from 1 species